GGAGAUAAUGAAUGGGAAAACUAAAUGUCAGAAUGCGCGUGUAUGGAGACGGGAGGAAAAUGAUACAAAACAACACUGUAAUUCCUAAAGCUUCGUAUUUUAUUUGGGAGUAGCAAGUUGGUUGGCAUUUUUAAUCCUCAUCAGGGGUUAGAUGAGAUGAGCUAUAACCGUUUCUGAGAAAGUGGCAGUUUUUUAUUUUAGAAAAACAGAAUUCUGAUAUUUUUCAUUUGAUUUUUACAUGCUAUAUUUCUUUAAAGAGUUUUGCAGUGUGUCUACGCCUAGUCUCGUCCCGGUUUGUCCUUCAAGGAUCAGCCGGAUGUUUUUAUCCGUGUAUGAAGCCAUCACAUCUUCAGAAAUGGCUUGAUUGUAGGCAGGGACAGGACAGGACUUGAGAGAGACAGCGGGAUGGUUGGGCAGUCACAGCUGUUUAAGGAGAAGCCAAAGAUGUUUGUCUGAUUGUUUGGUGUGUGCAAUUUGUGUCUGGAAGUUUCUGGAAUGUCUCAGGAGUGGAGUGAUCCUCUCCUCCUUAACACUUUCAGGAAGACUGAUGCUUGUUGACUUUCCCCAUUAUUCUCAGGAUACAACACAGAUGUAUCAUGUGACUCUGAUGUCAUCAAUAAGGGCCUUCACUAGGUCCAGAGAAUGUUUGUAAUCUGGGGUGGAGCUAAAGCAGAAGCGCUCCCACCACACUGAACUCUCAUGUAGAGAGAAGAGUAGGGCUAUCUGACACAGAGCCGAGCUUCGGAGAUUUCAGGCAGUAAUAAAAGUGUUAAUUGUGGAGGUGAAGAUGAAAUGAAAUCCAGACUGAGAAUAUUGUUAAUUCUCACCACUGUUCUACGGAGGGCCUUGGUUUUAAAUGUGCAGUUAUUCGACCCCUGGUCAGCCUUGUUUCUCAUCAGUACACCACUACACUAAUGCCAAAUAACCAGUCAGCACUGGUCCCACAGCAGCUUAUUGUGAGCCGGGCAACUCCACACAUCAGAGCGACUUCAUUUUCAGUUUCUUUUAGUGAUGUCAGCAGUUUUCCCUUACCCUUCAUCUGGUGUCAAUGGUCCAGUUGCUGCAUGUGAGGGUGUUGACCUGAAACAAAAUGAAAAGAAAAAAAAACUCUGCUCAGCAAAGCUCAAUCAUUCUCAUUUAUGCAGCCAUGCAGGCUCGUCUCUAUAAACAGCAAAAAAAACAAACAAAAAAAAAAAAAAAUAACAGAUCGUGUG
ensembl:lncRNA